rnacentral:rRNA from 1 species
AGUUGUAAUUUUUGAAGAGGAUGCCUCGGUGCGGGCCCCGAUCGAAGUAUUCCUUGUGAACAGGACGUCAUAGAGGGUGAGAAUCCCGUCUGUGGUCGGUGGCACCCUACCGUGUGAGGCUCCUUCGACGAGUCGAGUUGGGGUUUGGGAAUGCAGCUCUAAAUGGGAUGGUAAAUUUCUUCCAAGGCUAAAUAUCAGCCAGAGACCGAUAGCGCACAAGUAGAGUGAUCGAAAGGUGAAAAGCACUUUGAAAAGAGGGUUAAAAAGCACGUGAAAUUGUUGAAAGGGAAGCGCUUGCCACCAGAGUUGUCCGGGGGGUUCAGCCGACCUUCUGGCUCGGUGUACUUCCUCUCGGGCAGGCCCGCAUCAGUUCGGCCGGCCGGAUAAAGGCCGCGGGAAUGUAGCACCCUCGGGUGUGUUAUAGCCCGCGGUGCAAUACGGCCUGGCUGGACUGAGGUCCGCGCUUCGGCAAGGAUGCGGGCGUAAUGGUGGUCAGCGGCCCGUCUUGAAACACGGACCAAGGAGUCUAACAUCUGUGCGAGUGUUCGGGUGUCAAACCCGUGAGCGUAAUGAAAGUGAACGGAGGUGGGAGCCCUCGGGCGCACCAUCGACCGAUCCUGAUGUCCUCGGAUGGAUUUGAGUAUGAGCAUAGCUGUUGGGACCCGAAAGAUGGUGAACUAUGCGUGAU